GCUGUCAAUCAUGACGUCUCAGCCCCCUUUUUAUAGCAUCAAAUAACUAAUUAAAACCAAACUUGUCAGAAAGAAAUGAUCACUUGAACAUACGUCAGCGUGAUAAGAACUACCUAAAAUGACAGCAACCAUCUUUGGGAAAAAUGUAUUUGACAUGUACUUUGACUUUUUAGUUUGGCCCAUGUCCCAUCUGCCAACAUGGAGGAGGCGGGCUUUAUGAGCUAUACUGCAGCCA